UACGAAUUGUUCCACAUAUAUAUUCCUAUACUGUAUCAUUCCUAUCUAUUGUCACCCAAACACUAUCAACCCAUAAAACCCAUUUAUACACGGCCAGCUUGUCUAGCCGCGCAACCGUCCAGGUUGCAUGUGUAUCAUAUACGUGGUGCGUAAGGAUCUUGCUGGUAGUCUUCGUUCAUGAACUGGUAAUGCCCAUGAACGGUUGGUCUGACUAUCGGCAAGGUGCUACGGCAACUUAGCACUCACGCGGUAUUACUACCCUUUGUAUAUCCACUGUGGUUCCUCGUGUUCCACGCUCGCUGGCUGGAUCGUCCUCGGACUUUCCUUCUCAACGGUUGGCGCCCCUCGGGGAAGAAGCCUUCUUUAAUUA
rnacentral:misc_RNA from 1 species